rnacentral:rRNA from 1 species
CCUAUCACCCUGUGACAUACCUAUAACGUUGCCUCGGCGGGAACAGACGGCCCCGUAACACGGGCCGCCCCCGCCAGAGGACCCCCUAACUCUGUUUCUAUAAUGUUUCUUCUGAGUAAACAAGCAAAUAAAUUAAAACUUUCAACAACGGAUCUCUUGGCUCUGGCAUCGAUGAAGAACGCAGCGAAAUGCGAUAAGUAAUGUGAAUUGCAGAAUUCAGUGAAUCAUCGAAUCUUUGAACGCACAUUGCGCCCGCCAGUAUUCUGGCGGGCAUGCCUGUUCGAGCGUCAUUACAACCCUCAGGCCCCCGGGCCUGGCGUUGGGGAUCGGCGGAAGCCCCCUGCGGGCACAACGCCGUCCCCCAAAUACAGUGGCGGUCCCGCCGCAGCUUCCAUUGCGUAGUAGCUAACACCUCGCAACUGGAGAGCGGCGCGGCCACGCCGUAAAACACCCAACUUCUGAAUGUUGACCUCGAAUCAGGUAGGAAUACCCGCUGAACUUAAGCAUAUCAAUAAGCGGAGGAA